GACGAACGCUGGCGGCGUGCCUAACACAUGCAAGUCAACUUGACUGAAGGAGCAAUCUGACAGUAGAGUGGCGCAAGGGUGCGUAACGCGUAAGUAACUUGCCCAAGGUAAGGAAUAACGUCGAGAAAUCGGCGCUAAUACCUCAUAAUGCAGCGGAUCCGCAUGGAUAUGUUGUUAAAGGUUUACCGCCUUGGGAUAGGCUUGCGUCUGAUUAGCUAGUUGGUGUGGUAACGGCACACCAAGGCUACGAUCAGUAACUGGUCUGAGAGGAUGAUCAGUCACACUGGAACUGAGACACGGUCCAGACUCCUACGGGAGGCAGCAGUGAGGAAUAUUGGGCAAUGCUCGAAAGAGUGACCCAGCAACGCCGCGUGGAGGAUGAAGGUAGUUCUAUAUCGUAAACUCCUGUGAGAGCAGACGAAGACAGAUUAUUAAUCUGGAUGACUGUAUGCUCAGAGGAAGCCCCGGCUAACU
rnacentral:rRNA from 1 species